rnacentral:sRNA from 1 species
AUGGCUGUCGUCAGCUCGUGUCGUGAGAUGUUGGGUUAAGUCCCGCAACGAGCGCAACCCUUAUUUCAUGUUGCCAGCGCGUAAUGGCGGGGACUCGUGAGAGACUGCCGGGGUCAACUCGGAGGAAGGUGGGGAUGACGUCAAGUCAUCAUGCCCCUUAUGUCCAGGGCUUCACACAUGCUACAAUGGCCGGUACAAAGGGCUGCGAUGCCGCGAGGUUAAGCGAAUCCUUUAAAGCCGGUCUCAGUUCGGAUCGGGGUCUGCAACUCGACCCCGUGAAGUCGGAGUCGCUAGUAAUCGCAGAUCAGCAACGCUGCGGUGAAUACGUUCCCGGGCCUUGUACACACCGCCCGUCACGUCAUGAAAGUCGGUAACACCCGAAGCCGGUGGCCUAACCCCUCGUGGGAGGGAGCCGUCGAAGGUGGGAUCGGCGAUUGGGACGAAGUCGUAACAAGGUAGCCGUACCGGAAGGUGCGGCUGGAUCACCUCCUUUCUAAGGAGCACCACGAGACCCUGGCCGGCCCGCAUGUUGCGGGGGUUCCGGAUUCUGGGGCGAUUCGUUGAAUGGCUUCUCGCCUGUAGUGGGUGGGGGGUCUGGUGCGCAAGUCGAACUCAAAAACUUCAGCUUCUGGUGUCGUGGCCUUUCGGGGUCGUGGUGGUCGGGGGGUGGGGGUCUGCCAAGCACGCUGUUGGGCUUUGAGGCAACAGGCCCGCUCGUUCUUCGUCCCCGUGGUGGGAAACCGGAAUGGGUGUGUCAUCUUCGCGUGGCGGGGGUGAUGGUGAGUUUGUUUCCGCUCCACUUGGUGGUGGGGUGUGGUGUUUGAUUCGUGGAUAGUGGUUGCGAGCAUCAAGCUGGCAUGGGUUGGGUCGCGGUGCGUUCCUUUUCGGAGGAGGGUUUUCCGGGGCUCGUCUGGUGUCGGUUUGUUGUGGUGUAAUUUUGUGUUUCUCAAAGAAAUAUCUGUUUUGGUUUUUUGUGUUGUAAGUGUUUAAGGGCGCAUGGUGGAUGCCUUGGCAUCAGAGGCCGAUGAAGGACGUGGGAGGCUGCGUUAUGCCUCGGGGAGCUGUCAACCGAGCGUUGAUCCGAGGAUGUCCGAAUGGGGAAACCCGG